rnacentral:rRNA from 1 species
GACGAACGCUGGCGGCGUGCUUAACACAUGCAAGUCGAACGAAGAGCGAUGGAAGCUUGCUUCUAUCAAUCUUAGUGGCGAACAGGUGAGUAACGCGUAAUCAACCUGCCCUUCAGAGGGGGACAACAGUUGGAAACGACUGCUAAUACCGCAUACGAUCCAAUCUCGGCAUCGGGACUGGAUGAAAGGUGGCCUCUAUUUAUAAGCUAUCACUGAAGGAGGGGAUUGCGUCUGAUUAGCUAGUUGGAGGGGUAACGGCCCACCAAGGCGAUGAUCAGUAGCCGGUCUGAGAGGAUGAACGGCCACAUUGGGACUGAGACACGGCCCAGACUCCUACGGGAGGCAGCAGUGGGGAAUCUUCCGCAAUGGACGAAAGUCUGACGGAGCAACGCCGCGUGAGUGAUGACGGCCUUCGGGUUGUAAAGCUCUGUUAAUCGGGACGAAUGGUUCUUGUGCGAAUAGUGCGAGGAUUUGACGGUACCGGAAUAGAAAGCCACGGCUAACUACGUG